rnacentral:lncRNA from 1 species
ACAGGUUGUACCGUCAGAAUGAAAUCGUGAGGUCACCGAGAGACGCCAGUUUCCACAUAUUUCCUGCAACGUCAACAGCUGAGUCCUCCCCAGCCGCUAAUGUCUCUGUUGUGGAUGGAAAGAUGCAGCCUAGCAGCUUUCCAUGGCAGUCCCCCUUACCAUGCAGUAACAGCCUCCCUGCGACCUGCACGACUGGGCAGAGUAAGGUGGCAGCCUGGCUGCAGGACUCAGAAGAAAUGGACCGGUGUGCGGAAGAUCUUGCACAUUGCCAGUCAAACCUUGUGGAACUUAGCAAGCUCCUGCAGAACCUGGAGAUACUUCAGAGAACUCAGUCGGCUCCUAACUUCACUGACAUGCAGGCUAACUGUGUAGAUAUUUCAAAGAAAGACAAGCGGGUCACAAGACGCUGGAGGACAAAAAGUGUCAGCAAAGAUACAAAAAUACAACUGCAGGAAGGGCCACCUGCGAAGGGCCAGUUCAACACAACUCGGCGCCGGCA